GGAGGCGUGGCAGAGUGGUCGAAUGCGGCAGUCUUGAAAACUGUUGACUGUUACAGGUCCGUAGGUUCGAAUCCUACCGCCUCCGCAA
rnacentral:tRNA from 1 species